ensembl:lncRNA
AGUUUCUGCUGCACUGGGUCUUCGUUGCUGCUUGAGCUUGUCUCUGCUUGUGGUGCACGGACUUCUCUUGUUACAGAGCACAGGCUCUAGGGCGCAGGCUUCAGGAGUCGUCGAUCCUGGGCUCUAGGGCGCAGGCUCAGGAGUCGCUGCUCCUGGGCUCUAGGGCGCAGGCUCAGGAGUCGCUGCUCCUGGGCUCUAGGGUGCAGGCUCAGGAGUCGCUCUUGGGCUCUAGGGCGCAGGCUCAAUAGUUGGGGUGCCUGGGCUUAGUAGCUCCUCAGCAUCUGGGAUCUUCCUGGAUCAGAGAUCCAACCCUUAUCUCCUAUAUUGGCAGGUAGAGUCUUUACCACUGAGCCACCUGGGAAGCCCUCGUCAUUUUGUAGAUGAGAAUGGAGUACCAGCAGAGUUACAAGAUCAAGAAGUUACCACUCAGUCUGUUGGGCUUGCCUCAAUCUUCGUGCGCAUCUGUGGUGGUAGUUCCAGAACCUCAAGGGGAAGUUCACCUAAUUAAAGGAGAUGUAAAUCUGGAAAACACAUGGACUGGCAAUGAAAACUAAUUAACCCAAUUAUUCAUUCAAUCAGCGGUUCCACGACAUUCGCCUAUGUAUGAAGUCUUUCCCAGCAUCCGGGUUUUUUCCAGUGAGACAGCUCUUCCCAUCAGGUGGCCAAAGUAUUGGAGCUUCGAGCAUCAGUCCAUCCAGUGAAUAUUCAGGGUUGACCUUUAUACUGCUCUUCCAAAUGCCAGCUAUUAAAGUGCAACAACUGAGUUAUUACCUGCCUUGGAAUGUACAUCAUAAAACCUGUCUCAGGAAGAGAAUUUUGAGAAGGGAUGGACACAUGGAAAGAUUGGAAGACGGGCUCAUGUAUGAAAGAACUGGCCAGUUUGUUCUGCAGCUUAAAAACAUACACAGGAGCAGACAUGAGCUCUAGACUCAUAUGAGCUGUAAACCCCACGUCCUUUAUAGCAAAGAGGCCUCAAGAGCACAUUUACCAUCUACUUAAUAACAAUAUUAGCAUCAGUUUGGCAAAGCUACCUCAGACAUAACAUUUAAGAAUGAGAGUUUCUGGAGCGUAAAAUUACAAUUGCUUUGCUAGUAAAAGGAUAAAAUAAAUGUCUGUUCAAGCUAAUUGCUGUCCAACUUGUGAUUUUUUUGUUGUUGUUGUUAGCCUGUAAUAAACCCAACUCAUUUUAUUAUAAUGGGAUAUAGUCCC